UUUUAUCCUGUAUAUCAAAUACGAUUGCUUUUAAUUAUAUUAAACUCUGCGUAACAACAAAAAAAAACUUUCUUUUAAAAAUUUAGGAGAGCCUGAUACAAUAUGGGCAAUUCUCCAUUCACUUGUGUGAAAGUCACAUUGUAAUUCUGUUGCUAUUCUUAGGUGCAAGAGUAGAUAAUAAUCAAGACUUUAUAAAGUACAGGAUAUAUUAUGGUAUGGUAUGUUUAGCUUUAUCUGCAAACAUGUUAUAGUUUUUCACUGUAUCUAUGGAGAUAAAACAGAUGAAGAUUUUGUGAAUUGCUUCCGAAAUAAAGUUCUUCUCGCAAGAGCUAAACAUCAACUUAUAAGAGGCCGUAGAGACUGGAGUCUGCGUCACUGGCGUCAUCGUUUCAGGCUUUGCAAGUUUUUUGGGAGAUUGUUUAUUGUUUUUCCAGGAUUUGCAUUGAACGAAUGGCCAACGUUCAUAACGAGGAUAAUCGAUGAUGAACAAGAUGUAUAAACUAUUUCCAGCCUUGUUGUUUUCUAGCCUAUAUGUGCUUCUUUGAAAGUGUUUUAAUAUUCAUUGUAGAUAUCGCUUUGAGUUGCAAUAAGUAACCGAGUGGUUGAUUUUAUAUCUGGUUUGUUCGCUCCAUGAUAAUU